GGGGAGGUGAUGCUGAGGGUGGGCGAGAGCCUGGCUAACAAGCUGUGCGCACCCUGCGGGAACUUCAAUGGCGACGUCUCCGACGACCUGCAGCUGCCCAGCGGGCAAAUCGUGGGGAACAUCGCCGAGGUCAUCGACGCCUGGAAGGCCAGAGACUUUUUAGGAUGUGACUGACACACAAAGGCAAGAUGCUUCUCUGGCUGCCACGCUUCUAACAUCGUUUGAGCUGACCUGGGAGCUCCGUCGGUCCCUGCACAUUAGACGGCCCCAGCAUGGGUUUGGCCCAGGAAUUCCCACUACACAGAGUGCUGGAGGCAGCUGGGACUCACCAGGCCAUGCAUGUGGCUGAAACCCUGGGCUGAUGUGUACAGAGCUGUGUGAGGGAACUGGGUGCGCCACUUUCCCAGCUUUGGAUAUCUCAGCCUAAACACACACACACACACGCACACACUCACGCAAACAUGCAUUGUAUAGAGCUAGCUAUAAGGUUAGAAUCACAGAAUAUCAGGGUUGGAAGGGACCUCAGGAGAUAUCUAGUCCAACCCCCUGCUCAAAGCAGGACCAAUUCCCAACUAAAUCAUCCCAGCCGGGGCUUUAUCAAGCCACACCUUAAAAAAUAUUGAAUUAUCAAAAGUAUCCAAAGGAAUUAGGCACUAGAGCUGGUUGAAAUUUUUUGGCCAAAACUGCAGAAUUGAUGACACCAAAAUGUUCCACAAAUUUGGGUUGAUUUUUGACAAAUUGCACAUUAAGAAAAAAAUGUAAGGGGGAAAAAAGGAGGCUUUGUCUUGAUGUUUUCGAAAUAAAAGGUUUCAAUU